AUUGAACGCUGGCGGCAGGCCUAACACAUGCAAGUCGAGCGGAUGAAGGGAGCUUGCUCCUGGAUUCAGCGGCGGACGGGUGAGUAAUGCCUAGGAAUCUGCCUGGUAGUGGGGGAUAACGUCCGGAAACGGGCGCUAAUACCGCAUACGUCCUGAGGGAGAAAGUGGGGGAUCUUCGGACCUCACGCUAUCAGAUGAGCCUAGGUCGGAUUAGCUAGUUGGUGGGGUAAAGGCCUACCAAGGCGACGAUCCGUAACUGGUCUGAGAGGAUGAUCAGUCACACUGGAACUGAGACACGGUCCAGACUCCUACGGGAGGCAGCAGCGGGGAAUAUUGGACAGUGGGCGAAAGCCUGAUCCAGCCAUGCCGCGUGUGUGAAGAAGGUCUUCGGAUUGUAAAGCACUUUAAGUUGGGAGGAAGGGCAGUAAGUUAAUACCUUGCUGUUUGACGUUACCAACAGAAUAAGCACCGGCUAACUUCGUG
rnacentral:rRNA from 1 species